UACGGAGGGUGCGAGCGUUGUCCGGAAUCACUGGGCGUAAAGGGCGCGUAGGCGGCCUGAUAAGUAGGGGGGUGAAAUCCUGCGGCUUAACCGCAGGGCUGCCUUCUAAACUGUCAGGCUCGAGCACAGUAGAGGCAGGUGGAAUUCCCAGUGUAGCGGUGAAAUGCGUAGAUAUUGGGAGGAACACCGGUGGCGAAGGCGGCCCCCUGGACCGGUACUGACGCUGAGGCGCGAAAGCGUGGGUAGCAAACGGG
rnacentral:rRNA from 1 species